rnacentral:rRNA from 1 species
GACGAACGCUGGCGGCGUGCUUAACACAUGCAAGUCGAGCGGUAAGGCCCUUUCGGGGGUACGACGAGCGGCGAACGGGUGAGUAACACGUGGGUGACCUGCCCUCCAGCUCUGGGAGUAAGCCCGGGAAACCGUAGGGUCGUAAUACCGGAUAUGACUCCAUGACGCAUGUUGUGGGGUGGAAAGCCUUGUGCGGCUGAGGAUGGGCCCGCGGCCUAUCAGCUUGUUGGCGGGGUGAUGGCCUACCAAGGCGACGACGGGUAGCCGGCCUGAGAGGGCGACCGGCCACACUGGGACUGAGACACGGCCCAGACUCCUACGGGAGGCAGCAGUGGGGAAUCUUGCGCAAUGGGCGAAAGCCUGACGCAGCGACG